AUUGAACGCUGGCGGCAUGCCUUACACAUGCAAGUCGAACGGCAGCGCGGGAGCAAUCCUGGCGGCGAGUGGCGAACGGGUGAGUAAUAUAUCGGAACGUGCCCAGUAGUGGGGGAGAGCCCGGCGAAAGCCGGAUUAAUACCGCAUACGACCUACGGGUGAAAGGGGGGGAGCGCAAGACCUCCCGCUAUUGGAGCGGCCGAUAUCAGAUUAGGUAGUAGGUGGGGUAAAGGCCUACCAAGCCUGCGAUCUGUAGUUGGUCUGAGAGGACGACCAGCCACACUGGGACUGAGACACGGCCCAGACUCCUACGGGAGGCAGCAGUGGGGAAUUUUGGACAAUGGGCGCAAGCCUGAUCCAGCAAUGCCGCGUGCAGGAAGAAGGCCUUCGGGUUGUAAACUGCUUUUGUCAGGGAAGAAAUCUUCUAGGCUAAUACCUUGGGGGGAUGACGGUACUUGAAGAAUAAGCACCGGCUAACUACGUGCCAGCAGCCGCCGUAAAAC
rnacentral:rRNA from 1 species